rnacentral:snRNA from 1 species
AGCUUUGUGCAGUGGCAGUAUCGUAGCCAGUGAGGUUUAUCUGAGGUGCGAUUAUUGAUAAUUGAAAACUAAAGACAUCGCAAAGGCUCCCUAACCCAGAGCCUUUCUGUUGAAUCACACUGAU